UCAAAUUGAAUUUUUCAGAGCUGCCUGGGGGUUGCUCUGAGUUCUCUGUCAGGUUUCUCUCCAGGUUUUGUCAAGGGUUUUGUUUCAAGGAAACCUCAGAGUAUUUUGCUUCCCUUUCUUUUUCUGUCUGAUCUCCCUCUUUUAUAACCUGAUUUUCAUGGCUUUGUGGGCUCAAAUGAGAGAGGUCCAAGUCCAAGUUUUUUUAUUAUAUUUUAUUUAUUAUUUUUACUUAUUUUUUUUUUUUGUAAAAAAUUAUUAUUAUUAUUUUUUUCAUUUUAUUUUUUUUUAUUUUUUAUUUUUUGUAAAAAAUUAUUAUUAUUAUUAUUUAUUUUUAAAAAGUUUCUUGGAUCUAAUUCUGAUUGACAUGAUGAAAUGCAAUAUGAAAUGCUAAAUGAAUGCAUGAAUAAGGAGGGCAAAUUUUGGGGUGUUACAGCUGCCCCUAU
rnacentral:lncRNA from 1 species